GACUGGGAUAACUCGUGGAAACGCGAGCUAAUACCGGAUAACACUUUUCAUCUCCUGAUGAGAAGUUGAAAGGCGGCUUUUGCUGUCACUUACAGAUGGGCCUGCGGCGCAUUAGCUAGUUGGUAAGGUAACGGCUUACCAAGGCGACGAUGCGUAGCCGACCUGAGAGGGUGAUCGGCCACACUGGGACUGAGACACGGCCCAGACUCCUACGGGAGGCAGCAGUAGGGAAUCUUCCGCAAUGGACGAAAGUCUGACGGAGCAACGCCGCGUGAGUGAUGAAGGUUUUCGGAUCGUAAAACUCUGUUGUUAGGGAAGAAACAAGUACUAUAGUAACUGAUAGUACCUUGACGGUACCUAACCAGAAAGCCACGGCUAACUACGUGCCAGCAGCCGCGGUAAUACGUAGGUGGCAAGCGUUGUCCGGAAUUAUUGGGCGUAAAGCGCUCGCAGGCGGUUCUUUAAGUCUGAUGUGAAAUCUUACGGCUCAACCGUAAACGUGCAUUGGAAACUGGGGAACUUGAGUGCAGAAGAGGAGAGUGGAAUUCCACGUGUAGCGGUGACAUCGUUUGAGAGAGAUGUGGAGGAACACCAGUGGCGAAGGCGACUCUCUGGUAAAGAGGACUGACGCUGAGGACGCGAAAGC
rnacentral:rRNA from 1 species